rnacentral:rRNA from 1 species
UUAAAUUGAAGAGUUUGAUCAUGGCUCAGAUUGAACGCUGGCGGCAGGCCUAACACAUGCAAGUCGAACGGUAACAGGAAACAGCUUGCUGUUUCGCUGACGAGUGGCGGACGGG